rnacentral:rRNA from 1 species
GGAAUAUUGGGCAAUGGCCGAGAGGCUGACCCAGCCAUGCCGCGUGCAGGAAGAAGGCCUUCUGGGUUGUAAACUGCUUUUACCAGGGAAGAAAACGCUCUUGCGAGAGUAACUGACGGUACCUGGUGAAUAAGCACCGGCUAACUCCUUGCCAGCAGCCGCGGUAAUACGGAGGGUGCAAGCGUUGUCCGGAUUUAUUGGGUUUAAAGGGUGCGUAGGCGGCCCGUUAAGUCAGCGGUGAAAUCCCGGGGCUCAACCCCGGAACUGCCGUUGAUACUGGCGGGCUUGAGUUCGGUCGAGGCGGGCGGAACUGGUGGUGUAGCGGUGAAAUGCUUAGAUACCACCAAGAACCCCGAUUGCGUAGGCAGCUCGCUUGGCCGAAACUGACGCUGAGGCACGAAAGCGUGGGGAGCGAAC